rnacentral:misc_RNA from 1 species
GGAAGUAAAAGUCGUAACAAUGUUUCCGUAGGUGAACCUGCGGAAGGAUCAUUCAUAAUAAAGUGUUUUAUGGCACUUUUUAAAAAUCCAUAUCCACCUUGUGUGCAAUGUUAGAUCUCGUCAAUCUUGGCGAGAUUUUUAUACAUCAACUCAUUCUUUAACUAAUUUGUCUGAAAAAUAUUAUGAAUACUUAAUUCAAAAUACAACUUUCAACAACGGAUCUCUUGGCUCUC